GCGAAGUGACGAUAGAAAUUCAAUUGUCUGUCAAUCCACUGAUGUUCAGUGAUGUUAUAGUGAAUCCCGACAGGUUCUGAUCGC